CCUAGGUAGGCGCAGAAACUUUCUGACUGGCAGCAAAAGACUAGCCCCAGUUUAGCAGAGCUCCACGGGAAACGCCUGAGCAAAUGCGAAUUCGGUCAGGCUGUCCCCCAAUCCUUUCUACAACUGGAGUCCCUGAAUACUCAGCCGGCAGAGUGCCGGGACCACCCAUGCGGAUGUUUUCAGCCAUCUCUUUCCUCUUCGGGCUUUGUAUCCUACGACAGUCUCCCGCCAUGCUUCUUCACCUCGGUUCUCUAAACAUCAAAGGUCAAGAGGAGGGUUUCCAGCCCUGGAGCCCGCGAAAGGGUGGGCCCUUGCGGUUCACGCGCGGAAACAGCGAUAGGGACACCCAAGGCCCAGGAAGGCUGGGGACAAAGCAGAUCCUCCCAGACCCCAACACCACCCCGGCGUAGGCGCAGACCCCGAGGGUUCCCCGGGGCCCGGGGCUGACCGCGCGGGCGCCAGCCCGAUUGGCAGAGCGUCGCCGAGAGGUUUCCACAGGGACGCUCCCGCCCGAAUGCCUCCCUGGGAUUGGCUCAUUUCUUGGUUCAGACCUGGACGGUGGCCAGAGGAGGACAAGAGGCUUUCACAACGAACGGAGGUGAGGCGGGCGACGGAGACGCAGCCGCACUUCAACUAGCGGCCGGGCCCCGGGGACGUGGCGGCGGCCUCUCCAGCGUCAGUGCUGCUGGCGGCGGCGAGAAACCGGUGGCGUCACUGCCUGAGUCCGCUGCUGUUGCCAAGGUGACGGGACGAAAAGCAAUGGGGAGCGGUGCGUGGGGGCGGGGCAGUGGAAGGUGCGGGGAGAACGCGGCUUGGUCCCCCUUCCACAGGGCGUCCUCCUGCAGCCGGGCCUCUGUCCUCCCCCGCCCCACGCGGCACGAGCUACAGAACGCUUUGCUCGUUUCUCUUUUUCUACAGUAAGGAAGCGCUUUCUUUUCUCCCCCGUGUAUACAUUUGUUUACUUCUGGUUCCCGUGUCUUGUUAACAUGUUCCCGUCAUUCCCUGUUUAAGGGCAAAGGAUGUUCCAAGCUCAUCGUGUACUUUGCUCCUGCCUUGGAAUCAGACAUUUUCCCCAAGGUCCCUGUUCCUUUUCCUGGAAAAUGCUGUUUUACAGCCGGUAUCUCGGCUGUGUAGGUUGUUUGUUGCUACUAGGAUGCCACUGCUUCUAGACUGUCUCAGCAGACAACGCUAGGAAUUGAUACACACACGCGUGUUUAUGUAUAUGUGUGUAUGUAUGC
rnacentral:lncRNA from 1 species